ACUAAAACCAGCCAGCUAGAGCUCAAAUCUGUUACCUUCUUCUUCUUCUCUCCCUCAGGCCUCAAAUUUCCAAAACCCUAAUUUCAAUCCCUCCCAUGUCUCUGGAUGGCUCUGUGGACCGGAGAAAACAGCCCCAAACGCCUGUUGCCGGAAACGGGAACGGAAACGUGAAUGGCGUCGUAGAGGACGAGAAGUUGAGGCUGGGGCGGCACCCGAACGAGAAUCACAAGCCGGAGAGCUACGAGGACCUGAAAUUGGACUUCAGCCCGCUGCUCUUCAGCUCGCUGGAGCAGUACUUGCCCUCCAACAUGCUCAACCUCUCACGUGACCUCAAGCUCCAGUACAUGCGCCACAUUCUGCUCCGCUACUCGCCCGAGGGCGAACGCACUCGUGUUCAAAGGCAUAGGGAAUACAGGAAGAAGAUAAUAUCAAACUAUCAGCCUCUACAUAGGGAGCUGUAUACUAUGAAUGCUGCAAACUUCUUUGUCCCCUCCUUUCUCAAAGCAAUCAAUGAAAAUGCAAAGGAGAGUUUUAGAAGUAUAAUGACCGAACCCUCUCCGGGAGUUUAUACAUUUGAAAUGCUUCAGCCACAUUUCUGUGAAUUGUUGGUAUCCGAGGUGGAAAAUUUUGAAAGAUGGGUCCAUGAGACAAAAUUCAGAAUCAUGCGACCUAACACAAUGAACAAAUAUGGUGCUGUUCUUGAUGACUUUGGAUUGGAAACCAUGCUUGACAAGUUGAUGGAGGACUUUAUAUGUUCUAUAUCUAGAGUUUUCUUUCCUGAAGUUGGUGGAUCCACUCUAGAUUCUCAUCACGGUUUUGUUGUUGAAUAUGGAAUGGAUAGAGAUGUCGAGCUUGGUUUCCAUGUGGAUGACUCGGAAGUCACAUUGAAUGUUUGCUUGGGUAAGCAGUUUUCUGGUGGAGAAUUGUUCUUUCGUGGUGUCCGAUGCGAUAACCAUGUACACUCAGGAACCCAACAAGAGGAAAUCUUAGAUUACUCCCAUGUUCCGGGUCGUGCUGUUCUUCAUCGUGGUCGCCAUCGGCAUGGUGCUAGAGCCACGACAUCUGGGCGGCGGGUCAACUUACUUUUGUGGUGCAGAAGUUCGAUCUUCAGAGAGCUGAAAAAAUAUCAGAAAGAAUUCUCUAGCUGGUGUGGAGAGUGCCAACGUGAGAAGAAAGAAAGGCAGCGUCUAGCAGUUGGUGCUACCAAACUGGAAUUACUGAACAGGUUACAGAAAUCUGCUUCAUGAGCUGUUUCACGUGCGAGUUUUGCUCGCGCAGCCAUAAAUUAGCAGAAUCUCAUCCUUAUCAACGCAUGGAAGCAUUUUUUGUUGGUUAUGCAUAUAAUUUGCUUAGGAUUAUGUUGGAAAUAUAUGAAAGGUGCCUUGGAAAAGCACCAUAGGGAAUUCAGGGGUGACAAAUAAGAACGAAGAGCAGGUUGAAUUUGUUGGUGAGAGAUAAAAGAAGGGGACCCACUUGAAAACAUUUUCUACGAAGACAUUCCAAUCUUCCUAUAAUGGUGUGAUAGGUUUGCUAUUUUCAGCAUCUUUGCAAUUUUAUACUCUCCCUUGCUUGUCUUUCAAAAGG